rnacentral:rRNA from 1 species
CGGAGUGAACGCACCACUGGUGUUCGGGUUGUCAUGCCAAUGGCACUGCCCGGUAGCUAAGUGCGGAAAAGAUAAGUGCUGAAAGCAUCUAAGCACGAAACUUGCCCCGAGAUGAGUUCUCCCUGACCCCUUGAGGGUCCUGAAGGGACGUUGAAGACUACGACGUUGAUAGGCCGGGUGUGUAAGCGCAGCGAUGCGUUGAGCUAACCGGUACUAAUGACCCGUGAGGCUUAACCUUACAACGCCAGAGGCGUUUUG